UUCUCCCGUUUGAAAAGAAUUUAACUUUCGUGGUAUUUGAUAUUAAACAAUAAAGUAGUAAUCUUGGAAGGAAAAAAGAGCUAAAUAAGCUGAAAAGGCUUGGUUUUUCUUGAAAGAGAAUAAAUUGAUUGAGCUGUGGCCAUGUUCUAAAAUGAGAAGGUAGAAGCUAAGAGUAUGGUGAUGGACUGAUUGUUUUAUUUUGUGAUGGGAAAAAAGAGAAGAAAUGGGAAAGGUAAAAGGAAAAAGUGGAGGGAAAA
rnacentral:lncRNA from 1 species